rnacentral:lncRNA from 1 species
UUUUUUCUGCCUCAGACUCCAUAUGCAAAUGGACUGGUACAUGACCCAGUCAUGGGGAGCCAAGCCAACUAUGGCAUGCAGCAGAUGGCAGGAUUUGGGAGAUUCUAUCCUGUAUAUCCAGCACCUAACGUAGUUGCCAACACCAGUGGUUCGGGGCCCAAGAAGAAUGGGAAUGUCUCAUGUUACAAUUGUGGUGUAAGCGGACACUAUGCACAGGACUGUAAGCAGUCGUCCAUGGAGGCCAAUCAACAAGGCACUUACAGACUGAGAUACGCACCUCCCCUCCCCCCUUCUAAUGAUACGUUGGAUUCUGCAGACUGAAACGAGUAAAGCUUGCCUACUUAAUACACUCAAGUGUGGGGAGUCAUGGGGUGUGGAGGGGAGGAAAGGAAAGUUCCAAUUUGAGCCGCUGUGAAAAAGGCCUCCACCAGCCUCUCACCAGAAGAGAUUGCUCAUUGGAACGCAAUGCCACCUGGUGGGGGACGAGGACAGUGCGAGCAAGCAGAUGUUAUUUCCUACUGACCUAAUUUAGAGAACAUUAAACAGUGGAAGUUUCCAGAGAAAACAGCCAUCAAAGAAGGUUGAGAGUGAGAAUUAAGAGACACUGGAGAAGAUCAAGAGAAUGUGCCCUGAAGACAACAACAAAAAUCAAUAAAAGAUUUCAAGAAUGAAA